rnacentral:rRNA from 1 species
GUGCCAGCAGCCGCGGUAACACGUAGGCACCAAGCGUUGUCCGGAUUUAUUGGGCGUAAAGAGCUCGUAGGCGGUUCGGUAAGUCGGGUGUGAAAACUCUGGGCUCAACCCAGAGCCGCCACCCGAUACUGCUGUGACUAGAGUGCGGUAGGGGAGCGGGGAACUCCUGGUGUAGCGGUGAAAUGCGCAGAUAUCAGGAAGAACACCAGUGGCGAAGGCGCCGCUCUGGGCCGUGACUGACGCUGAGGAGCGAAAGCGUGGGUAGCAAACAGGAUUAGAUACCCGAGUAGUCC